UACAGGGGGGGCAAGCGUUGUUUGGAAUUACUGGGCGUAAAGGGUUCGUAGGUGGCCAACUAAGUCAGACGUGAAAUCCCUCAGCUUAACUGGGGAACUGCGUCUGAUACUGGAUGGCUUGAGUGUAGGAGAGGAAUGCGGAAUUCCAGGUGUAGCGGUGAAAUGCGUAGAUAUCUGGAGGAACACCGGUGGCGAAGGCGGCAUUCUGGACUACAACUGACACUGAGGAACGAAAGCCAGGGGAGCAAACGGG
rnacentral:rRNA from 1 species